rnacentral:lncRNA from 1 species
CCUUUCUCUCUCAUUAUGGAUUUUGUCUCUCUAGGGUCAUUCUCUCUCUCUGAUUGCAUCACAGACCCUAGGAUAAACUUGAGAUGAAAAUAUGAUGAUCUGAGACUGCUCCGAAAUUCGUGCAGUAGAUUGGAUCCCGAUCCGAUCCUUAUUCGAAAUUGAUAAUAUCAAUCAUGGUUAAUCCAUAUUAAGUCACCCUGAUAUGACCUCUGAUGAUCUCAAUCAUGAUUGUCACU